GAUGAACGCUGGCGGCGUGCCUAAUACAUGCAAGUAGAACGCUGACGGAGGAGCUUGCUCUUCUGGAUGAGUUGCGAACGGGUGAGUAACGCGUAGGUAACCUGCCUGGUAGCGGGGGAUAACUAUUGGAAACGAUAGCUAAUACCGCAUGACAACAGUUCUUGCAUGAUAACUGUUUAAAAGGGGCAACUGCUCCACUACCAGAUGGACCUGCGUUGUAUUAGCUAGUUGGUGAGGUAACGGCUCACCAAGGCGACGAUACAUAGCCGAGCUGAGAGGGAGGUCGGCCACACUGGGACUUGGACAAGGGCCAGACCUCCUCGGGGAGCAACAGGAGGGGAUCUUCGGAAAUUGGCGGAAGGCCGACCGAGGAACGACGGGGGAGGGAAGAAGGGUGUCGGAGCGGAAAGGUCGGUUGGAAGAGAAGAACGAGUGGGAGAGUGGAAAGUUCACAUUGUGACGGUAGCUUAACAGAAAGGGACGGCUAACUACGUG
rnacentral:rRNA from 1 species